UACGGAGGGUGCAAGCGUUGUCCGGAAUCAUUGGGCGUAAAGCGCGUGUAGGCGGCCCGGUAAGUCCGCUGUGAAAGUCGGGGGCUCAACCCUCGAAUGCCGGUGGAUACUGUCGGGCUAGAGUGCGGAAGAGGCGAGUGGAAUUCCUGGUGUAGCGGUGAAAUGCGCAGAUAUCAGGAGGAACACCAAUUGCGAAGGCAGCUCGCUGGGACGUGACUGACGCUGAGACGCGAAAGCGUGGGGAGCAAACAGG
rnacentral:rRNA from 1 species